CUAUUCUUGGUAAUGACGGGAAGUGGCUCUGAUAGUCUUAAAUUCGCAGUUCGUUAGCUGAUAACUUUUUCUCCUUCAAUUGUUAACAGCACGAAACACUUAUCAUUGGAUUAACGGUUUUAUUUUGUGCCCAUGCAGGUUUGCUUACAAUACAACACAAAAUAAAGAGGUGGAGGAAAAACAACUUACAAUACAACACAAAAUAAAGAGAGGGAGGAAAUACAACUUACAAUACAACACAAAAUAAAGAGAGGGAGGAAAUACAACUUACAAUACAACACAAAAUAAAGAGAGGGAGGAAAUACAACUUACAAUACAACACAAAAUAAAGAGAGGGAGGAAAUACAACUUACAAUACAACACAAAAUAAAGAGAGGGAGGAAAUACAACUUACAAUACAACACAAAAUAAAGAGAGGGAGGAAAUACAACUUACAAUACAACACAAAAUAAAGAGAGGGAGGAAAUACAACUUACAAUACAACACAAAAUAAAGAGGUGGAGGAAAUACAACUCACAAUACAACACAAAAUAAAGAGGUGGAGGAAAUACAACUCACAAUACAACACAAAA